AUCACCUUCCUUACACCUAGAGGCGCUCGCUCUACGGCCGGAACCUUGUUGCUAAGGACAGGACGGUUUGCGGCAACCUAGGACGCUGCGGAGUUUGAAUUGAGAGGAGAGGGAAAAGUUUUCCUCAGCUGCUGAGUGGUUGUGAACAGAGUAUGGCUGUUUCUUUGACCUACAGCCCUGGAUUUCUGUAAUCCACAGAUUCUCAGGUGCUACUGUGCUACUAGAUCUGGCCAUGAGAUGUAAAAGUGGAAAUAGUGUGUGCAACAUUGAGGAAGUUCUUCAAAAGAAGAUGAUUCACCAUUCUUUCCUUCUUCCUGCUGGUUGAAAUUAGACUUGCUGGCUUAAGAUCCUUACCGAAGGCAGAGUAACAGGACUGAAAGAGCUGAGUCCUUGACACUGGAAUACCAAAAUCACCCUUGAAUUUCUACCUCCACCCACUUUCACAUGGAGAGAAAUAAACUUUUAUUUAAGUUACAGUUAUCCUAGGUUUUCUGACAUAUAUAGCCAAAAUUAUCUUGUUCAUUAUUACUACAAGUUUAAUGGAUUAAAAAAAUGUAUUGUAAUUCUAGAAGUCAGAGUACAAAAUGGGUCUCAUGAGACUAAAAUCAAGGUUUUGGCAAGAUGAGUCUACUUCAGAAAACUCUAGGGAGAGUCUGUUACUUUGCGUUUACCAGCUCCUAGAGGCUGCUCACAUUCCUUGGCUCUUCAGCAUCUUCUUCAAAGCCAGCAACAUCUGGCAGUCAUUCUUAUAUUGCCAGCUCACUGGUUCUUUUUAUACUGCCUCCCUCUUCCACAUAAAAAGGACUUUGCUAUUCAGUUGAACCCACCCAGCUAAUCAGGACAUCUUCCUACUUUAAGAUCAACUGAUUAGCAAGCUUAAUUCCAUCUGCAAUUUUAAUUCCCCUUUGUGAUAUAACCUAACAUUCACAGGGUUGGGUGAUUAGGAACAUGAACACCUUUGAGGGCCACUGUUCUGCCUACUAUAGUGUACAAAUUUUUUAAGUUUUGUGAUUUGAGAAAUAUGUUUUUACUUUAUGAUUUACCUUUAAUACAUUUGCAACUUAUACUAUGCUAAUUGGUCAUUACUCUUUAUAGAACAUUUAGCAUUGUGCCCCAUAAUUUUUUUAUUUUAUAUAUGUGAAGGACAGGUAGUCUAAAAAUGAAUCAUAAUCUUUUCCAAAUUCACAGGGAAAGUGUAAAUAGGUAGGAUUUUUUCAGUAUUGAUUUUUUUCAUAUUUUUAAUAAUUUACUGGCAGUUAUUUACUUCUCAUACAAGAUUCACAUGUAAGUUAAGAUAAAGUUCAACAUAGAAUUAUUUUCAAGUGUAAAUUGUACAUAUUUUCUGGUGUUCCUCACUUUCCAAACACAUUUGAGUACAGCAGUUUAUGAUCCUCUAAUCAUCAAAAAUUUUAAAUUGGUUAAUUUCAUGGAAAUCCGAAUAGUAUGUUGGUGUUACUCCUUCAUUCAAUGCCUAUUUUCAAUCCUAGAGCUUUAAUGGGGUUAGGGUGAGAGAAUUAAAAGAAGUCACAGUGUAUGCAAAUCUUAAGGAUGAAACUAUAGUGCUUUUGAGGUGCAUAUCAAAUAGAAUUAAGCCCCACAUAGCUAAUAAUUCCCCACAUACUUUAGUUUGUCCAUGCCACUGAUGUAGCAUUAUCCCUAUAUGGUUUUUGUUUUGUUUACAUCAGGCCCCUCUCCUAAUUAUCUUUGUGUUUCUGAUACUGAAAGCAGUGCCUGUCCAAAAUAUUUUUAAUAUUUAUGGAAAAGAGGAAAAGUUUCUUGUCAUUGGUGAAUCAUUGCAGCACAGAAAUUUUGUGAAGAGCAAAUAGAAUAGGGUAUGCAGACUAUUCCAUAUGUUAUCUGGCACUUGGUAAACAGUACAUGAAAGACAACAAAAAAUAAGUAAAUUCUUAGGCAAAGAUUAAAGUCAGAUGUAAAGGACAUAAUCCACUAGAAUUCUUACAUAGUGUCUUUCUCUUCAAGGCAAAAAGGUAAUUUUUAUCCCUGAAAUUGUCAUUUAAAGCACAGGUAUAACUAAAGAGCAAAAGAAAGAGAUGAUGUUAACAUGUUUUGCUUAGCAUUUAGUUGUAAUAUUGUCUAAAAAUGUUAGCUUACCUUAGCUAUAUUAUUUAAGGAACUGUCUCUACAAUAAGUACACUUCCUACCCUAGGGAAAAUAACACUAUUUGCAAUGCAAUUAGCUAACCUGUGGCACUUGCUACUCUUAUACAGAUCAUUUUUAAAAGGCAAGUUAAAAAUUAUGAAAGAAAUAUAAAAAUUGCCUUAAGUUUUGUUUCUUGAUUUGCACACACCUAUUUGAACUGUAGAAGCAAAAAGUAGGAAUUCAUCAUAAAGAUAUUAGUGAUUGUUUUUUCAUAGAAUCCAAAAGUAAGAGUGAAGUCAGGUCUCCCAAGUGAAGAAUCAUGAAUACCUCUAAAUGUACAGGUGGUCCCUCUCCAUUUUUUGGCUCUUUGUGUUUCUGUUUCAUUUUGUUGAGGGCCCACUGUUGUGCAUGAAGGUGGUGUGAGGAGACAGAUAAAUACCUGCCAUAACCAUUCCAUAGUGCUUAGAGAGAAAAAUCCUACCCCUAAAGUGUUAUUCAAUAAAGAUUGUGGGUUUUUUUCACAUGUAUAGUUAAUGUAGUUACAACUGUCAGUUUUUCCAUAUACAUACAAGAACAACAUAAUCUAGUAUUAUGUUGUUUUUGUUUAACAUAUAUCCAUUUUCCUACAUAGCUACAUAACCUUUAUAUUUGUCCUUUUUUACAUGGUUGUAACAUUCAAGUUGAUAAGUGUAAUUUACUAAGCCAGGGUUCAUAUUGUUGAAAGUUUCAUUAUUUUUGCUUUAUAAAGAAUAAACACUAUUAUAAUAAGGUUUUGUUUUUAUUUGAUUUUUUUAUAAUUUCCUCAGAGAAUACUCUCAAAAUUGGAAAUACUUACUAGAUGGAAAUGACCAUAUUUGUCUUUUUAAAUAUAUUGUCAGCUUACUUUUGAAAAGGAUUACACAAACAUGAUGUCACUCAAGAUUUAUGAGUUUGACCAUGAUUUAAAAUUUUCCAAAAUUGCUAGUUUAUUCAGACAGACUGAAAACAUUUGAAUUCCCUGAUAUUUUAUAAGAGGUAUAUAGGAAAACACAAGUGCAACAAGAACAUAUAUAAAUAUGUAAUAAGUUCCAUACUGGAUUAAAUCAAUGAUCACUCCAGCUCUGGAUCUUAAGACCUAGUCAGGCUCUUUUAUGUUAAAGUCACCUUGAUCUGGUUUUUAAAAACAUUCCUUCCUCCCACCCAAAGAUUUUUUCAAAGGACUGGCUUUGGGUUUGUAAUCAGUUUUGUCUCUGAAAUUAUCUACCUAGGCUUUACUCAAGUGCAACUGAAUUUAAUCACAUUUUUCUUUUAAGAGUAAUUUAUAAGGUGUUCUUAUAGAUCACAAAAAUGCCCACAAAGAGCCAAAUUGUUUUAUUUCCAGCUUUGAACUUUUUGUAUUUUAUUAUAAAGUUUAGGGACUUGCAUUGUUUCACUUCAGUAGCCAUAUUUUAAUUAAAGGUAAAGUCAUUCCUAGUUAAAAUAGUUCAUAAAAUGUAUACAUUUGCAAUAAGCGUUAGUCAACAUAUUUUGGUAUUACAACUAACAAUUUAUAUUAAUGUUGUAAAUAUUUGUGGAAUUUGUUAUUUUCACACUGAAUUAAUUGCUGUCAUUGAAUAAGUACCUUCUCUCUUUAGUAGCUCCAUUUAUUUCCUGAAUCUACCCAUUGAUACUGUGCUUUUAAUUUAUAAAAUCACCAAUAAAUAUGUGGCUUUUAAAAAAUGUCCAUUUUCCAUAUAAAAUAUGGAAAGUCUCCCAGCAGAUAUUUUCAUUUGCUAACUGGUGAUAUUUUUGGUAAAUGCCAAAAGGUAAUUUAUGAAUAUAUAAAACAUUAAAUGUGUGACAACUAUAGCAGAAAGGGUUAGUAGAAUAAAUGAUUAAUAUAUUGUCUGCUAACAGAAAAAAUUAAAAACACUGACAGUAUGAGAAAAUAGAAUUUUGAGCUGAUCAUGUAAAUUUAUUUCAGUUCUCUUAUUUUCUAUGUCCAUGUAAGACCUAGUAAAUUAAGAAAAUAUAUAGUUUGAAUCCUG